UGUGAAAAAGCCAAACCUCCCGCGAGGGGGGGACGGAAAACCGCGGGUCUCACGUAGACGGCCGGGUUGCCUGAA
rfam:Syntrophobacter fumaroxidans MPOB, complete genome.